rnacentral:tRNA from 1 species
UCCCUGGUGGCUCAGAAGGUAAAGCGUCUGCCCGCUAUGCGGGAGACCCAGGUUCGAUCCUGGGUCAGGAAG